rnacentral:rRNA from 1 species
CGGGUGUCAGAUUGGAUUGAAAAAUAUGCCUCUAGCGGGGUGAAGUAAAUUCAGAUCAAGUCUGUUAUUCAGGCUAUUCUAGUUUAUGCAAUGCGUAUCUUUAAAUUUCAUGCUUCUUUAUGUGAUGACUUAUCCCAGAUUAUCAGGAAUUUUUGGUGGGGCGAUGAGGAGAAUAGAAAGAGAACUCAUUGGGCAUCUUGGGAUAAAAUGACGAGACCUAAAAGUGAAGGAGGCAUGGGCUUUCGUGACCUUAGAAUUUUUAAUCAGGCGCUUUUGGCUAAACAAGCUCGGCGUUUACUGGUUUUUCCGGAUUCUCUAUGAGCAAAGGUGUUGAAAGCUAAAUAUUACCCUCAUGGACAUCUUAUUGAUACCGUAUUUUGCUACCUCUUGAGCACUGCGUUGGUUUUCCCUUGA